AAAGUGACAUUAUUUGAAAUGGGAUUAUUUAUUUAUUUAUUCUUAGAGUCGCCACUUGGGAUAAGAUUGGGUUUUGGUGUCCUAAGUGACCGGUUUAACUUGAAUCCCAAAUCGAGGAAAUUUCGACUUCCCAAUUGGAGUCUACGAACCAGAAAUUCUUAAUAAGGAAUUCUGGUAACCCUAGGGAAGCUGUUAGGCACCCCCGGAUCCCGUGGUUCUAGAAAAAUCGCUUAAAUUAUUAUAAAUGACUAAAAUCUAAUUUUUAUACAUGUUCAAAACUAUAGUGCAAU
rnacentral:lncRNA from 1 species